rnacentral:rRNA from 1 species
AGAACGAACGCUGGCGGCAAGCCUAACACAUGCAAGUCGAACGGUAGCACAGAGAGCUUGCUCUCGGGUGACGAGUGGCGGACGGGUGAGUAAUGUCUGGGAAACUGCCUGAUGGAGGGGGAUAACUACUGGAAACGGUAGCUAAUACCGCAUAACGUCGCAAGACCAAAGAGGGGGACCUUCGGGCCUCUUGCCAUCAGAUGUGCCCAGAUGGGAUUAGCUAGUAGGUGGGGUAACGGCUCACCUAGGCGACGAUCCCUAGCUGGUCUGAGAGGAUGACCAGCCACACUGGAACUGAGACACGGUCCAGACUCCUACGGGAGGCAGCAGUGGGGAAUAUUGCACAAUGGGCGCAAGCCUGAUGCAGCCAUGCCGCGUGUAUGAAGAAGGCCUUCGGGUUGUAAAGUACUUUCAG